rnacentral:rRNA from 1 species
UACGUAGGGGCUAGCGUUAUCCGGAAUUACUGGGCGUAAAGAGCUCGUAGGUGGUUUGUCACGUCGUCUGUGAAAUUCCGGGGCUUAACCUCGGGCGUGCAGGCGAUACGGGCAAUACUUGAGUGCUGUAGGGGAGACUGGAAUUCCUGGUGUAGCGGUGAAAUGCGCAGAUAUCAGGAGGAACACCAAUGGCGAAGGCAGGUCUCUGGGCCACUACUGACGCUGAGAAGCGAAAGCAUGGGGAGCGAACAGGAUUAGAUA